rnacentral:rRNA from 1 species
UACGUAGGGGGCGAGCGUUGUCCGGAUUCAUUGGGCGUAAAGCGCGCGUAGGCGGCCCCGCAAGUCGGCCGUGAAAUCUCCGGGCUCAACUCGGAGGGGUCGGGCGAGACUGCGGGGCUCGAGGUGGGCAGAGGGCAGUGGAAUUCCUGGUGUAGUGGUGGAAUGCGUAGAGAUCCGGAGGAACACCAGUGGCGAAGGCGGCUGCCUGGGCCUGGCCUGACGCUGAGGCGCGAAAGCGUGGGGAGCAAUCCGG